rnacentral:lncRNA from 7 species
CAGGUACUCAGAAAAGGACUGUAAGCCUAAAGAAUAGAAUGUCUUUAAGAAAAUAGGAUAUUUUGUGUCCCCAGUCCUAGUUUCUUUAGUAGGAAAGGUAGUUUUCUAUUUUGGAAUUGCCAAUAUAGGGUAUUUGGUAGACAGUCUUCCUAAUACUUCUGACACAAAAAUUAUAACCUCGGCAUCUAGGCACAUACAGUUAUCUGGCAUUAUAUUACUUUAAAGAGUCAUAGCAUCUGGUGAUAUCAGCUCUUCCAGCUGAGCCAGCCAAGGAAGUAAAGUCCUGUGAAUGCAGAACAGAUGUAGGUGACAUCAGUUGCAGUAUGUUAGAGAGGAACUUGGCAAAUCUCUUCAAUAUUACGUGUCCUCAGAGUAGUUCAGCGUUCUGCAGCUGUAGAUCUUCAGGAAUUGAGACAUUUCUGCCCCAGACCUGGAAAAAUACUGCGUUUAUAGUUUAUCUUCUCAAAACUUGAAAUCCAUGUCUUGAACAAACUGAAGAGCAUGAACCUGCUGAUCUCUGAUAUACUGGUGUCCUUGCCAAACCAGAGACCUACAGGUAGAUAUGGCCUCUUUGUGAAAUCUUGGGCACAGCCAUGCGUGAAUGAGGGACGCUUUUCCUUCAGUGAGCCAACAGCCUACGUUCUCAGAAACUAUUUGAAGUAUGCUGGGCAGCACAUUUCAUGCAAAAGAAAAGACUAUCAGAUACAUACUUGUGCCUGUGUGGACAGUCGUUUUACCUAACAGUGGUACCGUAGCACAAUCCACAUGUGGAUAUUCUGAGAAAUAAGCAAUUUAUUCGUUAUGAUGUAGCAGAUUUUUUCAGAUUCUUUGUCUCCAUUUUUGCAACCAUCAGUUAUUUCAUUUACUAUUUAUUAGGUGUAUUACAAAUGGCAGCAUUUUGUUAUUUUAUCAGGCUAGGGUUUUCUUUUUAUCCAGCUUUCAUAUUCUGCUGUUUCCCUUACUGCCUUUGGGAUUUUUCUGGAUAUGUCUCAUUCCUUAUGUCUCUUACUAUGUUUGAAUCCAGUCUGCCCUUGUAGGAACACUAGGAGAUGAGACUCUGAAGCUGGUAGUAAAUAACAGUGGGUUUUUUUUCAGAAACUUAAAGACUGAACUUGGCAGUGUGCUCCAGUGUCUGAUUUCUCUCUUUCCUGCUUUUUAAUAGGAUAGCAGUCACAUAUGUUCUGCGUGACUUCUGUACGUUGUUAGACUUGAUUUUCUGUCAUUGCUCUGAUAUGCUGCUGCUCCUGCAGUCAGUUCUGCUGUUGUUAUCUCCUUCGUUUUGUUCCCUGGGGUUGUUAUUUCUGCAGGUUUUGGGUACCUGCAUUUAUGACAUUUCUCAAGUGUAUUUCAGGGGGUGUAUUUUAGCGCAAGUCGGUGGGGUGGAGUAAUAGUUUGUCAUUUGAUACGCUGAUUUUGGCAGAGUUCUCUGAGCAUGAAACUAUAAUAGACUGGAUAUUAAGGAGCAACGUUGAAGUUUCCUCAUGUACUAUGAAAUGAUGUUUGUGUGAACUGUUAGAAUCCAGUUUCUCAAGCUGUGCUGAGCUGAAGAUGCUAAGCUUCACCUCCUUUUCUUCUAAGUAGAGAGACAACGUGAGCAAGUGUUUUGGAGGGACUGAAAGUGUAUUCUUGCCUCUGCCACUGAGUUGAGACUGCUCAAUUGGCUUAAUCAAAGCUUUGUUUCUUUUUCUACUGUACUCCUGAGUGCACUCUUUAAAAAAGCAUCUGGGAGAUGGAUGUGUUUUACUUUAUGUUCAGGUGAGAUCCAACUGCAAUUGGUUCUCGGGUUGCUGUUGUAGUUAGAACAAUAAAUACAUUACAUUCAUUAUGUAAUAU